rnacentral:rRNA from 1 species
UGAGGAAUAUUGGUCAAUGGGCGAGAGCCUGAACCAGCCAAGUAGCGUGCAGGAAGACGGCCCUAUGGGGCUAGUAAACUGUCUUUUAGGAAGGGGAAUAACAGAAUCUACGUGUAGUAUUUAUGCAUCGUUACCUUUCGAAUAAGGAUCGGCUAACUCCGUGCCAGCAGCCGACGGUAAU